AUGGACGAGAAGGCAGCCAAGAUGGAGAAGCUCUCGUCGGCGGCGGCUUUCGUGGAGGGCGGCGUGCAGGACGCCUGCGACGACGCCUGCAGCAUCUGCCUCGAGGCCUUCUGCGACAGCGACCCCUCCACGGUUACAAGCUGCAAGCAUGAUUUCCAUCUCCAGUGCAUCCUUGAGUGGUGCCAGAGAAGCUCCCAGUGUCCCAUGUGUUGGCAGGCAAUCAGCAUGAAGGACCCUCUGAGUCAAGAGCUCCUUGAGGCUGUUGAACAGGAGAAGAAUGUGCAAGCAGAUCGCUCACACACGACCGCCGUUUUUCGCCAUCCAAUGCUCGGACAUUUUGAGGUACCAGUUGAUACAGAUGAUGCUGAGCUUGAAGAACGUCUCAUGCAACACCUGGCCGCUGCUGCCGUGACACGUAGGUCGCACCGCCAUGGUAGAAGGGAAGGCCACCGCGGAAGAUCAGGACCACACGGCCGCACACAAAUUGUAGUAUUUUCGACAACUGAAACUACCUCUAGUGACCCCAUUUCUUCAGAUUCACCACAAGUAGGGGACAGUGAGUAUUCUCCUGCUAUAAUCUCUGCUCCUGUGGAUGCCAUGGAAGAAGCAUCUGCCAACAUACUAGUGCACAAUAAUACUUCAUCUAACUGCCCUGUUGGAUCAAAUGAUAGAAUUUCUGGUGAUGAAGCAUCUCCCAUCAACCAGGAUGGAGCUGGACCAUCCGAUCCACAAUCUUUCUCAAACACACUCAAGACUCGCCUGCAGUCGGUUUCGGUCAAGUACAAGGACUCGAUAACGAAGAACACCCGUGGGUGGAAGGAACGGUGGCUCUCUCGGAGUGACACGAUAUUGAGUCUUGGUUCUGAUGUGAGGAGGGAGGUUAACGCCGGAAUCGCUGCUGUGUCUCGCAUGAUGGAGCGACUAGAAACGAGGGACGGGACUGGCUCUGGGCCCUCAUCGGCUUCUUCGGACAAUGUUUCUUCUGCUACAGAUAAUCAGGGGGCCGCGUCGUCCAACUUUUGUGCUUCCGUAAAUGGCGCCUCGUCUUCGGCAACUUGUGCGUCGAGAUCUGGUUCACAAUGA
rnacentral:rRNA from 1 species